AGUGAACGCCGGCGGUAGGCCUAACACAUGCAAGUCGAACGGCAGCACAGUAAGAGCUUGCUCUUACGGGUGGCGAGUGGAGGACGGGUGAGGAAUACAUCGGAAUCUACUUUUUCGUGGGGGAUAACGUAGGGAAACUUACGCUAAUACCGCAUACGACCUACGGGUGAAAGCAGGGGAUCUUCGGACCUUGCGCGAUUGAAUGAGCCGAUGUCGGAUUAGCUAGUUGGCGGGGUAAAGGCCCACCAAGGCGACGAUCCGUAGCUGGUCUGAGAGGAUGAUCAGCCACACUGGAACUGAGACACGGUCCAGACUCCUACGGGAGGCAGCAGUGGGGAAUAUUGGACAAUGGGCGCAAGCCUGAUCCAGCCAUACCGCGUGGGUGAAGAAGGCCUUCGGGUUGUAAAGCCCUUUUGUUGGGAAAGAAAAGCAGCAGGUUAAUACCCCGCUGUUCUGACGGUACCCAAAGAAUAAGCACCGGCUAACUUCGUG
rnacentral:rRNA from 1 species